AAAAGAACAAACGUCCAGUGACAAAUAAGAUAUACCGGCUAAUCCGUAAACGGACAUUUCACUCAACACAACGGUCAACGGUCAUCACACCAAAAUUAAUUCCGCACGUGUUCAUUCGCAUGACAGUAAAAUGUCACCCUCGGCUAGUCCUGCCAGAGGCGAGGCCAGAGGUGUGCAGUGGACGCAUUAUGGCGCAGAUAUCAUAAGGCACAUUGGACGGGGACGAGGAAUAGCCCGUUCAAAUUUGCCAGCAGGCGAAUGUCUAUGUCACAGGUCCCAUUGUUACCUCCUCUGCGAGGUCUGUGGCUUUCUUGGCUGGGGAAGAGUUAGGUACAGCUGUCCAAAACAUCCUCAGACAAUCUUUCUUAUUGAUAUGUCAGAAUGCCCUCGGUGCCGUGCAUAUGGAUAUAUGAUUAUGGAGUUUUAAGAAAACUAUUGCCUCGUACUUAUAACAAACCAAAGAU